rnacentral:sRNA from 1 species
CUGAGAAGAGAGGGAAGCUCCUUAUUUUCCUCUGAAACGUCGCCUUCUUCCUAAAUAGACCCUAAAGAAGCCGUGAUUUACACGGAAAUACGGAGAACUCAACCGAAACCGAAACCGAAACGUGCAGUUAAGGAGUCUGAAAGCCCAAGAUCAAGGUGCCAGAUGGCUGAGAAAAACUAGGACAUGUCUCCUUCAAGGACAGCUCCAGAGAAGCAACCUGCAGCUACUUCAGUCUACUGUGCCUGCACUUUCCUGCCCACAGAUGGUCCCACAGAGCAUGGACAGCAAUGAAACAGACAACUCUCCUAAGACUGGACCAACAUCCCCAUCCCCACUUUCUUAGGUUUUCCAGAAACACGUCACCCCAAAGUCAGAAGGAAGCAACUAAAGAUCACAAUGACCCUAUUCCUGCUUUACCAUCGCCUCUUCCUUGUUUCUAAUUUUUUUAAUUAAACCAAAAUGGAAGAAUGUUAGCAUUUCUUCUAGGCUCUG